GAAAAAGUGAUUAUCUCAGAGGGGUUCCGUUCUGCAAAGCUAAUUCGGAACGUGGACGGGAGCUGGCGUGUGAUUAAUUCGGCGUGGAUGAUGGAUGGCUGAGAGCGAGCGGCAGCUCGGCACUUCUUGUGACCGGGAGUGAUGGAGAGGAACCAGAAAAGCCUCCUCACCAACCGCAUGUGGAGGAGCAACCCGAUGACACGCAGAAAGACGCUCAUUUACUCUCAGCGGCGGCUUCAACGUGUCAACAACAACAACUGCCAUCAAUCACGUUUCGCAGCAGUGAGCCAACCUCGGGCCGUACGUUUCAGCAUUUAAAAAGAAGAAGAAAAAACUGGGUUUCAAAUGAACGUGCGCGUUCGGGAGCCCAGCCAGAGCUAACGGCGUCUUACUUCCAGUUUCUGCCUCCCUGGUUUCCCACAUAUUUUGGCUGUGAGGUAAAUAUGUGACUGCCAGUCGCAACCCAGUGGAGCCUGCCGACGAGUCCAAUGCAAGGUGCUUUCAUUAGCUGUGAUCUGCAGGAUCGACGUUAAAUGAAGCGUGAUGGCAUAAAAGAGGAAGCUUUUAGGGGCUUCAAACUGGUGUUCAAUUCUCAGCCAAGUAGCUCGUCACCAGUGCAAAGAACUUGGGUUUAAAAAAACAAACCUUUAUGAUGAGAAGCAACACAGUGCCGCAGUUUCUCAUUUACCGAAACUAACUUUUUUUUAUUCAAUCAUUGGAACGUAAAAGGUAUCAAAAUUUGCAAAAUUAAGACUAUUUUAAGGGCAAAUGGAGUGAGUGUG
ensembl:lncRNA